UUGGGAGCUCACUGGCUUCGGAUUCCAUGGGAACUCCGAAGUUAAGUGAGUUGGGGCUAGAGCAAUCCCAUGAUGGGUGACCUACUGGGAAGUUGCUCGUGAGUUCUCAGA
rfam:Prunus persica cultivar Lovell chromosome G5, whole genome shotgun sequence.